UUGUGCCUCAUUGACAAACAAGACCCUGUUGGAGAUGUCAGCUCAGCUAUGGAGUUCUUGUGGCAGCUGAAAGUCAGUCUUUUUGUAAGUGAUGCUGAAAAUAUGUAGAAACUUUGGGUGCUGCAAGUCAACCAAACUACAAGUCCAUGCAGUUUCACAACAUUAAGAAACAUAAAAAAUAUAAGGGACAAAUUAAACAGAUGGUUUUUGAUUUUAGCAGAAUCAAUGCACCCAGUUCCUUGGCCCAGGCAGUGGUCAGCCUCACCCAGCGGUAGUAAGUCUCAAA